GUUUACCUUUUUUAUUUUGAUAUUUUAUGGUGUAGAUUAACCUAAGUUAAUAUAACAAUCAAAACAGUAGGGCAUGGAAUGGCAGAUCAACAUUGUUAAUAUUCGGAUAAACUUUCUGGAUUUUGCUAAGUGAAGAAAUCCAAUGAUAUACAUGUAGGGGCAUGUGUCCAAAGCUGAUCCACAUCAAAACAUACUGAUUGGGAAUAAUGACAUAGUACCAAAAGAUGUGCUUAUACUGUAAUUAGCAGAUCUUCACAAAUGAACCUGGCAGAUCCUGGUGCAACCUUACCUUACCAUGUUUACAUCUAACCGUCAGUUUGAGCUGUGUGUGGGUGGUAACACGGACUAUAUACAUGUAUUGCCCAGUAAUUGUCUUGUGAUGGACCUUUUUAACAUAUCAAGUAUUUAAUUGAAGACUUAAGAGGUCAGUUUUCAUCAAAGAAUUUAAAAGUACAGUUUUUUUUGUAAGGGUGAAUAUGUGAUUAUAAUGGCAUUGAUGUAUAUUUUGUGUCUGUUUUUUAAUCAGCCUUUCAUCCAUAAUUAUGAAUAUUAAGCAUGAUACAGUAUUUUAAGGGAAUAUAAUGUAGAAAUGAUAUGUUGUUUCUGCACAAGCUUUUGAAUACAAGAAAUUCUAUGCUCACUCAGCACUGUUUACACAUUGUCAAUGAAUUUGCUUGUUUUAGUUUCCAAAUCUGUCUGUCUCUAGCUCCCUGUGAAUAAUGUACUUUUUUACAUUGCAUCCAUUGAUUUUAAAUGGGGUGUAUUAUGCACAUGUCACACUUUUUUUUACAAAAACAUCAAGGUCAAAGGUCAAAUAUAUGGGUCAAAAUCGCUCAAAAAGGGACAUUGUGUAUUGUGUUUUACAAACACAUACCUUGUUAUGUUAUGUAAUGGCCUUUCAAUCAUCUUAUUUUUUUAUGAAAUACGCUGGAUUUGUCUUUUCAUUUCAUCCACGAUAUCAUUAUGUUUUUUUGCCUGUUAUAUUUUGCGGCCCAAUGUACGUGUUAAGCAGUUUAACCAUUUACAACGGCAUUUGUGGCGAGGCUUACAGUCAUAAGGUUAAUCAUUACAUGCACUGCAUAUCAUAAAAUCGUUUGGCUUUUAUUGACAAAAUUUGCAAAAACGGUGUUAAAGACUAAACAUGACAAGUGUCGCAACUUCGUCCCCACCUGGGAAUUCAGAGCGCAAAUUUCAGAUUAUAAUGUGUCAGAUUUUACACUUGUAUAAUGAAGAAGUCAUCUCUUGACAAGAUGGUGAUGUCCUGAUCUCGUUCUAAGCCACACAUGAUACUUGUUUUGCUUUUAAUCAAAAUCGGUGUUAAAUAGUAAAUAUAAAAAGUGUCACAAAUUCGUCCCUAUUGAGAAGUCAGAGCUAAAAUUUCUGAUUUUAAUUUGUUAGAUUUUGCACUUUGAUAAUGAAGAAGUCAUCUCUUGACAAGAUGGUGGUGUCCUUAUCUCGUGCCGAGCCACAAAUGAUUCUUGUUUUGGUUCAAAGCAACAUAUAAACGAAGAUUUUUUUAAUGUACUUUGUUUUAAAUUCUGUUCUUUGAAAAAUGCAUGUACUUUGUUUUAAAUUCUGUUCUUUGAAAAAUGCAUAAUACGUCAUCAACUAUUAUAAUUUUAUGAAAAUAUUACUUUAAUUUUGGUUAAUGCAGUUAUUGAUAGAAAUUGUUGUAACGCAUACGAUGUAGAUAACGUUCGCGAACCACAAUAGAAACGUUCGUUGAGUUCACGUUUAAACGCGACGGUCACGUUCUUACAGUGGGUAUUAUUUGUUGAUCUUACUUCACUUUAUCGACCAUUUGUCAUUUAACAGUAUGAACACACGAACAAUCAAAGUAAAAUUAGAUGUCAGCGAUCGUUUCUUUCCGUUUAAGUUUCAAACAUUGGCUCGAAAAAGUGUGUGCAAAGGCUCAUUAUCGACAAUAAAGAUAACUUAAUAAUAAGCUGUAAAAAACAACCAGCAACAGUUUAUGGGAUUUAAGUAUUAGUCUUAUUAAAAUAUACGGUCAGUACAAACAUAUAUUGUAAUAUAUGCUACUAACAAUCGUUAAGUAUAAACUGUAAGCAAACAUCAACAAUAACAAUAACAGUUCGAGUAUAAAUAUAGGUGAAUGGAAAAAGUGAAAAUCAUUUAAUUGUCUUAUGAAAAUUAUGAGCACAAUGUUCUGGUAUUUUCUUCGUGCUGUAGCAUUCUUGUAGUUUGACGAAAUCUCGUGACACCACUGGAAUGG